CCUACGGGAGGCAGCAGUGGGGAAUAUUGGGCAAUGGGGGAAACUCUGACCCAGCGACGCCGCGUGCGGGAUGAAGGCCUUCGGGUUGUAAACCGCUUUCAGCAGGGAAUAAGCGCAAGUGAAGGUACCUGCAGAAGAAGCACCGGCUAACUAUGUGCCAGCAGCCGCGGUAAUACAUAGGGUGCAAGCGUUGUCCGGAAUUAUUGGGCGUAAAGAGCUCGUAGGUGGUUUGUUACGUCGAUCGUGAAAUUCAGGGGCUCAACCCCUGACUUGCGGUCGAUACGGGCAAGCUAGAGUUUGGUAGGGGAGACUGGAAUUCCUGGUGUAGCGGUGGAAUGCGCAGAUAUCAGGAGGAACACCGAUGGCGAAGGCAGGUCUCUGGGCCAAUACUGACACUGAGGAGCGAAAGCGUGGGGAGCGAACAGGAUUAGAUACCCUGGUAGUCCACGCCGUAAACGGUGGGCGCUAGUUGUGCGAACCUUCCACGGUUUGUGCGACGCNGCUACGCAUAGCGCCCGCCGUCGGGAGGUACGAGCGCGAGAGUAAACUACUAAUAGUAGUUAGACGUCGUUGAGACGUUGCCGACGGCGACGACGAGGGAGGAGG
rnacentral:rRNA from 1 species